rnacentral:rRNA from 1 species
GAUGAACGCUGGCGGCGUGCCUAAUACAUGCAAGUCGAGCGAACGGACGAGAAGCUUGCUUCUUUGAUGUUAGCGGCGCACGGGUGAGUAACACGUGGAUACCCUCCCUAUAAGACUGGGAUAACUUCGGGAAACCGGAGCUUAUCCCGGAUAAUAUUUUGCUCCGCAUGGUUCAAAAGUGAAAUACGGUCUUGCUGUCACUUAUAGCUGGUUCCGCGCUGCAUUAGCUAGUUGGUACGUUCACGGCUUACCAAGGCAACGAUGCAUAGCCGACCUGAGAGAGUGGUCGGCGACACUGGAGCGGAGACGCGGUCCAGGGUCCUGCGGGAGGGAGCAGUAGGGAAUCGGCCGCAGUGGGCGAGAGCCUGGCGGAGCAACGCCGCGUGAGUGAUGAAGGUCUUCGGAUCGUAAAACUCGGUUAUUAGGGAAGAACAUAUGUGUAAGUAGCUGUGCACAGCUUGACGGUACCUGAUCAGAAAGCCACGGCUAACUACGUG